CUGCGGUGUUCUCCCGCCCCCGCCCCGGGCUGGCGCGCCCCGACGCAUCUCCUAGGGGCACCGGGGCUCUCCGCCGAGCUCCGGGCAGGUCCUGAGUUCCCUCGCGCAUGCAUGCAGCCAUUCGUUCCACAGCCAUGACUGGGCACCUACUGUGUGCCAGGCCCUCAGUGAUUUCAUGCCUAGGGAAGGCAAGAAGUCGGCGCCCAAAGAAACUUUGAAAUGAGGAGUCUUGCACGACGGGUGCGCGGUUGAGCUGAGGUCCCGCUGACUUCCAGUCCAGUGCUCGUCCCUUGGCACUAAAUUGUUUUGUUUUCCAUCUUGGCUGCCUCCAAAUUUUGCUGACCAAGUGCAAAGCCCAGGUUUCUUAACAAGCCAAGGCUCUACGACCAGGGCACAACAAUCCAUACCUUGCUUGAAGGAAACAGCUGGAGGUCAAGAACUCUCACUACUACUGGAAAUUCAUGUGGCUGAGGGAUGGAACAGAAGAGAGCUUUUGGAUAAGGAUAAAAGAAAAGGAAAAAUGGUUUUGGUGACCCAGGGAUCAGGAAUGAUGCCUCCCUGAUACAGGUGGUAACAGAAUGGCCAGAGAAGUGAGAUGGAGAAUUCCAACUGGUCAGCCCUCUGCUGGAAGUCACAUCCAUGAAAAGACAGUUAUCUGAAAACCUAUUCUUGCUUGGCUUACCAUUUCAUUGCCGAGAAACUGGAAACCUGUCCUGGGCCCAGGAGAACACUGUGCUCCGAAUUCCUGGUGACAUUUUAAGAACGGGGGAUGCUAUUCAGCCUGCCCAGUGAUCUGGUGCUUCUAGUGUUGCACGGAUGACACACCACAGGAUUUCCUCAACUGCGCCCUGGCGUCCUGCUAGGAUGUCUUUCUCAUUUUUUCCAUGGUACACACAGUCAUUGCAUCACAGUCCAAACGGACUGUCCAGCGAUGCCUUUGUAAACAUGAGUCACAUGUGAAGUUAAAGGAAUCUGUGUUCAGCCAGGGACAGCAGAGUUCCUAAGGCACAUCGUCUUCACAUAAGGGGUGCAGAUUGAUAAGGGUCAUAGGACUUCCUGCUGAGAUGCCCAAGCAGUGCUCCGGGACUCACUUUAUGCAGCAGCCACUGAGGCCUCCAUCCAUAACACUCUUCUUCAUCCCUAUGAAGUUCUCCAGCUAUCAUAUCAGAAAACAUUACUAUUUCCCCAUUUUUCACCUUCUUGGGUGUCUCUCAGUUGGGUCCUGAAUGUCACCCCCUGUCCAGCCUUGGUCAUCCCAGCCCAAGCACAGGCACAAACCUCUUUCUUGCUUCCCCUUGAAAAAUGAAGGUCACCUAUAUCAACCUCCCGAAACAACACAUUCGACUGUCUCUGCCUGUUGAAAUCCUGGUUAAGGUCCAUCUCAGAAACUGCCUCUUCCCCGAUUAUCUCCACUGGCUAUGAGCUCUCUAAUCCCUGCACCAGAGAGUAUUUGAUCUGUUUCUCUCUCUCUUUUUUUUUUUUUUGAGAUGGCGUUUCGCUCUGUCACCCAGGCUGGAGUGCAGCGGCGCGAUCUUGGCUCACUGCAAGCUCUGCCUCCCGGGUUCAUGCCAUUCUCCUGCCUCAGCGUCCCAAGUAGCUGGGACUACAGGCGCCUGCCACUAUGCCUGGCUAAUUUUUUGUAUUUUUAGUAGAGAUGGGGUUUCACCGUGUUAGCCAGGAUGGUCUCAAUCUCCUGACCUUGUGAUCUGCCUGCCUCGGCCUCCCAAAGUGCUGGGAUUACAGGCUUGAGCCACCGCGCCUGGCCUGUUCUGUUUUCUUUUAUGCUUCUCAUCACAUUUUGACUUGCAUUGAGUUAUCAAUGUGUGUGCCCCUUUCAGAAAGAUCUUCCUGAAGCCAUUUAGGCUGUGACUAUUAUGUCUAAGCAAGAUAUGUGAAGGGCUAUGUGCCCCUUACAAAAAAAUUGCUUGCUUUUCUGCAGUGAGCAAGAAGGGUGAUGUUGUAUCUAAAGGUUCUUUGUCAAAGUCCUUCCAGAAUUUUUCUUGCUAGCUUAAUAAUCAAUCAGUAGAUAGAAAAGAGAUAUAGAUAGAUGUAGAAAGAUGUGUCCAGCAGUGUCCCAAAUAAGGUAUAACUAAUCUGUGAUUGGAUAUCACUGUGCACUCUAAAUUUCUUGCCUAUGUGUAACAAGUAAGUCAGGAUGUCCCCCCCCCACCCACCAACCUCCACACCCAAGAGUCAUCUAGUUGUGUUAGAAGGUCUGCAGGUGGGCAGUGGCUCAUGCCUGUAAUCCCAGUGCUUUGGGAGGUCGAGGUGGGAGGAUUGCUUGAGGCCAGGAGUUUGAGACUAGCCUGGGUAACAUAGUGAGACCCCAUCUCUAUUUAUUUUUAAAGGAAGAUCUACAGGUGAAGGGCACAUUCUUUUGUUGUCCACCUGUAUUGCUGAGUGAGCUAAUUCCAAACCAGCUCUGGGGCCUAUGACCUCCAUAUUUGAGCAGAAGAAUUAAAAAGUCUGUAAAAUCCCUCAUUGAAAUUAUCAGGAAAUAAAGGGAAGCUAAAACCCUCUUAGUGUCUCAUGGUUUUGAUUUCAUUGCAAUCUAGAAUUGUAUAUAGUGCAGUAUCAAUCAUGGGAAGCUGCCCCAGUGUUGUCAGCCUCUGUGACAGUAUUUUAUUCUCACACUGUAGGGUAAAUGCAUUGAGGCAACCUUCAUAUUUCUCUCAAUCCUGCGCAAUCUGCAGUAACCAGCUUUCUUUGAUUACCUAGAUAGGCUCAGGGGCCUCUCCC
rnacentral:lncRNA from 1 species